ensembl:lncRNA
ACCUGGGUCUUCACCUGGCUGAGGACUCUCUCUAAGUGUUUAAGGUCUCUCUCUCUCUCUCUCUCUCUAAGUGUUUAAGGUCUGACUCUCUUUCUCUCUCUAAGUGUUUAAGGUCUGACUCUCUCUCUCUCUCUCUCUCUCUCUAAGUGUUUAAGGUCUCUCUCUCUUUCUCUAAGUGUUUAAGGUGUGUCUCUCCCUCUCUCUCUAAGUGUUUAAGGUCUGAUUCUCUCUCUCUCUCUCUCUCUCUCUCUAAGUGUUUAAGGUCUCUCUCUCUCUCUCUCUCUCUCUAAGUGUUUAAGGUCUGUCUCUCUCUCUCUCUCUAAGUGUUUAAGGUCUGACUCUCUCUAAGUGUUUAAGGUAUCUCUCUCUCUCUCUCUCU